GCCGGGGUGGCGGAAUUGGUAGACGCGCACGGUUGAGGGCCGUGUGGGGUAUCCUGUAGGGGUUCGAGUCCCCUCCCCGGCA
rnacentral:tRNA from 1 species